rnacentral:rRNA from 1 species
UGAAUACGAGACGCUAAGGCGUCGAAGUAGUGUAUGUCAUACUUCCAAGAAAAGCUUGCACUGUCAUAGAUAAAAAACGCCUGUACCAUAACCGACACAGGUGGGUAGGUAGAGUAUACUAAGGGGCGCGAGAUAACUCUCUCUAAGGAACUCGGCAAAAUAACUCCGUAACUUCGGGAGAAGGAGUGCCUUAUUCGUAAGGUUGCAAUAACAAGAUCCAAGCAACUGUUUAUCAAAAACACAGGUCUCCGCUAAGUCGUAAGACGAUGUAUGGGGGCUGACGCCUGCCCAGUGCCAGAAGGUUAAAGAAGUUGGUUAGCAAUUGCGAAGCUGAUAACUGAAGCCCUGGUGAACGGCGGCCGUAACAAUAACGGUCCUAAGGUAGCGAAAUUCCUUGUCGGGUAAGUUCCGACCCGCACGAAAGGCGUAAUGAUUUGGAUACUGUCUCGGAGAGGGGCUCGGUGAAAUAGACUUGUCUGUGAAGAUGCGGACUACCUGCACCAGGACAGAAAGACCCUAUGAAGCUUUACUGUAACUUGAAGUUGAAAUUGGACUUUAUUCGCGCAGCAUAGGUGGGAGGCGUUGAUUAUAAUCUUGCGGGAUUAUUGGAGCCAUCAGUGAGAUACCACUCUUGUAAUGUUAGAUUUCUAACUUUGAAUCAUUAUCUGGUCAAAGAACAGUUUCAGGCGGGCAGUUUGACUGGGGCGGUCGCCUCCUAAACGGUAACGGAGGCGUACAAAGGUUUCCUCUGAACGGUUAGAAAUCGUAUCUAGAGUGUAAAGGCAUAAGGAAGCUUGACUGUGAGACCUACAAGUCGAGCAGGGACGAAAGUCGGUCUUAGUGAUCUGACGGUACUGAGUGGAAAGGCCGUCACUCAACGGAUAAAAGUUACUCUAGGAUAACAGGCUGAUCUCCCCCAAGAGUUCACAUCGACGGGGAGGUUUGGCACCUCGAUGUCGGCUCAUCGCAUCCUGGGGCGGUAGUACGUCCCAAGGGUUGGGCUGUUCGCCCAUGAAAGCGGUACGCGAGCUGGGUUCAGAACGUCGUGAGACAGUUCGGUCCAUAUCCGGUGUAGGCGUUAGAAUAUUGAGAGGAGCCUUCUUUAGUACGAGAGGACCGAGAAGGACAUACCUCUGGUGUACCAGUUAUCGUGCCAACGGUAAACGCUGGGUAGCUAUGUAUGGAGUGGAUAACCGCUGAAAGCAUCUAAGUGGGAAGCCCACCUCAAGAUAAGUAUUCUC